GACGAACGCUGGCGGCGUGCUUAACACAUGCAAGUCGAACGGAAAGGCCCUGCUUUUGUGGGGUGCUCGAGUGGCGAACAGGUGAGUAACACGUGAGUAACCUGCCCUUGACUUUGGGAUAACUUCAGGAAACUGGGGCUAAUACCGGAUAGGAGCUCCUGCUGCAUGGUGGGGGUUGGAGAGUUUCGGCGGUUGGGGAUGGACUCGCGGCUUAUCAGCUUGUUGGUGGGGUAGUGGCUUACCAAGGCUUUGACGGGUAGCCGGCCUGAGAGGGUGACCGGCCACAUUGGGACUGAGAUACGGCCCAGACUCCUACGGGAGGCAGCAGUGGGGAAUAUUGCACAAUGGGCGGAAGCCUGAUGCAGCAACGCCGCGUGCGGGAUGACGGCCUUCGGGUUGUAAACCGCUUUCGCCUGUGACGAAGCGUGAGUGACGGUAAUGGGUAAAGAAGCACCGGCUAACUACGUG
rnacentral:rRNA from 1 species